CAAGUGUAAAUCAAUUUAAUAAUUCAAAAAUGGAUUUGAGUGCUAUCAAUAAAAUCAACAACUUACCGAACUUUUUACCAACUAAAAAGUUUGAAGAACUGCAAUUGGGUAGAAUUUAU